UAGUCAUAUGCUUGUCUCAAAGAUUAAGCCAUGCAUGUCUAAGUACAUACCUUAGCACGGUGAAACCGCGAAUGGCUCAUUAAAUCAGUUAUGGUUCCUUAGAUCGUUCUUUUUACAUGGAUAACUGUGGUAAUUCUAGAGCUAAUACAUGCAAAAAGCUCCGACCGUAUGGGAAGAGCGCUUUUAUUAGACCAAAACCAAUGGGGUCGCAAGAUCCCUUUGUCUGGUGACUCUGGAUAACUUUGUGCUGAUCGCAUGGCCUAGAGCCGGCGACGUAUCUUUCAAGUGUCUGCCCUAUCAACUUUCGAUGGUAAGCGAUUUGCCUACCAUGGUUGUAACGGGUAACGGGGAAUCAGGGUUCGAUUCCGGAGAGGGAGCAUGAGAAAUGGCUACCACAUCUACGGAAGGCAGCAGGCGCGCAAAUUACCCACUCCUAGAUCGGGGAGGUAGUGACGAAAAAUAACAAUACCGGACUCAAUGAGGCUCGGUAAUUGAAAUGAGUACAGUUUAAAACCCUUAACGAGGAUCUAUU
rnacentral:rRNA from 1 species